ACGCCGUCAACUUAACCGAUACGA
rnacentral:siRNA from 1 species